CCAAAGUUGUCUUACUGACUCAGUUUAUCUUGUAAUCGAAAAAGGGACACCAUAAAAACACGUCUUCCCAUUCAUUAGUAUAGAAGCAUAUAUUGACACAUUCCCAUUUCCAUUCUCAAUUUUAUGCAUAUGUUUUAGACUCCUGCUGGUAUUACAGAAGACAGAGAAUGGCUCCAGUUCAUCGUUUGAGAGGCGACGACUCAAGCGCAGGGGUCUACAUAUGUAGGUAUGUUUGUUCGGGAUGUAUAAAUAAACAGCCACAUCCGCUCUUGUUUUAUGAAUAUGUUUAAUCCGAUGACCUCGGGUACAGAAAGCACCACAAUGGCCUCGUCUUUAAAAAAACUAUCGCGACAACUCUCAUAGGUGUCCGUAAAUGCCCUGUUGCAAUGACUUAUUUCUGAUGCUAUCAAACAUUCCUCUUUGAGUAGAGACGAGGCACAUACAAAUGCCUCCAGAGUUUGACUGUUAAUUAUAGCAAGAAAAAGUUAAAAAAAAAAAAACCAGACGAACAAUAGUGAUUUAUUUUAUUUAUAAUAAAUAAGAUGUGGUAUGAUUUACAAUGAGACAACUGUCCACAAGAGACAAAACGACACAGAAAUUAGAAUAUACAAAAAUAUGAAAUACAAAAAGAGGUUGAUCUUUUGCUCUUUUAACAUGUUCAUGUUUAAAGCUAACUAUAUGGUAUGUGUUUUCUCAUUAUUGAAUGACUUGCAUAUCUUACAUUAAAAUAGUUGACAUCCUUGUAGUUGUUGAGAUUUUUGUUGGAGAGUUGUCUCAUUGGCAUUCAUACCGCGUCUUCUUGUUUUUAUAUUAGUAUAGAUAAUUACUUUCUGCGGAAGAGCAGAUUUUUGCAGCCUAUUCAAUUAUUGACAAAACACUAAAAUUGAGAAUGGAAAUGGGGAAUGUGUUAAAGAGACAACAGCCCGACCAAAUAGCAGACAACAGCCGAAGGCUGCCAAUGGGUCUUCAGUGCAGCGAGAAACUCCCACAGAUCCGAAAACUGUGCUCUAGCUACAAAUAUUACGUCAUUCUUUUAUCAAGUUUCUGAGAAUAAGAUUACGGAAAUAUUUGUUUGAAUGACAAGGAGAUUGCAAUAUUUCUUCCAAGAGUUAGGUAUAAUGAAAUCUUGAGUUUGGUUACUUCCUGUUUUUGAAUCUCUGUCUUAUUAAAACGGAUAUAAUACUGGAUAUAUAUUGAUCACAGAUAAUGUGGUGGCAACAAACAGACCCAAUUGAACGGCAUCUGAAAUCUAGCAUAAACAUGUUAAACUAAUGAAAUAUUCUUCAAAGUUUACACCUUCAAUUAUGAUAAGCAAUGUACAAUUUGUAAUUGUAAUUGACAUGCAUGUGAUCGAAAAAAAAAUAUUAGUAAAAUGAUUAAAGAUGGGAAAUUAUAUCCAAUAUUGUAUUUUAUUUGAAGGUUCAUAACUACCCGGUAUAUAAAGGAGGAACUAGAAGUUGGAAUCCACAAGAUCAGAAGGCGAUACACCAUUGGAAAGACAAUUCUAUAGUUAGCGUGUAAAAAAAAAGUUGAAAAGUUGUUAAACCUGAGCGGGUAUAUAACGCUGGAUUAUAUAACACGCAAAUAAAUAUGCUUAAACAGCACAAAACUUGCACAGAGGAGUUCACUGCAACUAACUUGUCCUGGGAUAUGUCCAUAGCAUUUGUUACUUAUGUUACAUAUUACUCGGCUUACUUUAUAAAUGAAUGAGUUGAUGUAAUGUCUAGAGCGGUUUUCAGAUCAGCAAGGCAGUUAUUUUUCUUUGAUAAUUCUCUUAAUUAUUUAUUCCCGUUGAAUAUGUAAUGUGUAAUCAUUCAUUUAUAUGUCUUUUAUUCACUGAAAUGAUUUUAUUUUUGGUACGGUGCUUCUAAUUUUUCAAGUAUACGAGGCAAGCAUUUUUCUAACAUGACAUGCCAUGAUAUGAUUAUGCUUUUUUAAUAUUCUUGUUUUCAGUUAGUGUUUGAUCCAGUUAACCAUAUACUAAUAUAUUUAUAUAAGAAAAAUACAAUAAAAACUGUGAUCUUAUGAAUAUUCUGAUGUAUCCAAUAAAGC
rnacentral:lncRNA from 1 species